AUUGAACGCUGGCGGCAGGCCUAACACAUGCAAGUCGAACGAGUGGCGGACGGGUGAGUAAUGUCUGGGAAACUGCCCGAUGGAGGGGGAUAACUACUGGAAACGGUAGCUAAUACCGCAUACCAUCGGAUGUGCCCAGAUGGGAUUAGCUAGUAGGUGGGGUAACGGCUCACCUAGGCGACGCUCCCUAGCUGGUCUGAGAGGAUGACACCCCCCACUGGAACUGAGACACGGACCAGACUCGUCCACUACCACCACAUUUAAAAUAUUGCACAAUGAGCGCAAGCCUGAUACAGCCAUGCCGCGUGUAUGAAGAAUUCCUUCGGGUUUUAAAGUACUUUCAGCGAGGAGGCGUUACUCGCAGAAGAAGCACCGGCUAACUCCGUGCCAGCAGCCGCGGUAAUAC
rnacentral:rRNA from 1 species